UCCUUCGACGUCUUCGCCAUCACCUCCAAUUCAGAGGGAUCCUAAGCCAAUUUCUCGUGCUGCGGCACAUUUGGAUAAUGUAGCGGGCAAUGUGGACAUCGAUCACACUACUAUCUUUGGCCCCAAUAAUGAGAACCCACCUGGGAGAUCUUCAGCCCAACUCGCUCGGGAACGGUCGAUUCAUGACAUUCCUGCUGCUACAGACAAUAUUGAAGUUGAUGGCAC